GACGAACGCUGGCGGCGUGCCUAAUACAUGCAAGUUGAGCGCUGAAGGUUGGUACUUGUACCAACUGGAUGAGCAGCGAACGGGUGAGUAACGCGUGGGGAAUCUGCCUUUGAGCGGGGGACAACAUUUGGAAACGAAUGCUAAUACCGCAUAAAAACUUUAAACACAAGUUUUAAGUUUGAAAGAUGCAAUUGCAUCACUCAAAGAUGAUCCCGCGUUGUAUUAGCUAGUUGGUGAGGUAAGGGCUCACCAAGGCGAUGAUACAUAGCCGACCUGAGAGGGUGAUCGGCCACAUUGGGACUGAGACACGGCCCAAACUCCUACGGGAGGCAGCAGUAGGGAAGCUUCGGCAAUGGACGAAAGUCUGACCGAGCAACGCCGCGUGAGUGAAGAAGGUUUUCGGAUCGUAAAACUCUGUUGGUAGAGAAGAACGUUGGUGAGAGUGGAAAGCUCAUCAAGUGACGGUAACUACCCAGAAAGGGACGGCUAACUACGUG
rnacentral:rRNA from 1 species